rnacentral:misc_RNA from 1 species
UUUGUUGAUUCAAACUAUAAGUUGCAUGUGAGAUAUUUGUUGAUUCUACAUGGACAGCAUCUUGGUUGGCAAACAAUACCUUAGAAUGUGAUAAAUGUCAUGCCUGAUUGGAAUUUCAUAGGUCGAUUCUUCUUUCCAUGAAGCUUGUCAUUGAGUUAUGCAUGACGCACAACCCACACUUAGAUUCUCAUAUGCUUAUUAAGUGAUUGGUUUUUAUUUUUUAUUUUUGUUUUUAAUUAUCUUGUAGAAGCCAUAACUUUUAUAGGCUGAUAUCUCUUAUGUUUGGAGAAUAUUAAUAAUUUGUCCUUUCUGAUGGCAGUAUGUGUUGAGGG